UGAAUGUCCAGGAUGACCUCAUUGUGGUGGUUAAUUGGAAUGCUUAUGAAUUCCUUUCUGGUUUCAGGAGCAGAUUUGUGGAGAAGAACUGGAAAAUAUGAAGAACGAUCAAGAUUGUGCAGAGAAUGAAAAGGAAGUUGGACUACCCACGAGGCCUAGCUGGGCUGAGCUGGAAGGGAAGGAAGUUAAGAGGACAGUGGCGGUCCCUGGGCUGGUGGGGAAGCUGUGGCAGAAACACAUGCUGCCCAGCUCCUGACUCCUCCAGAGGCUUGGCUUGCUCCCCAGGAUCCAGGCCCAAGAGCCAUGUGGCUCUGCCUAGCCUCUUGUUCUUGAAAUAGUGGCCACAGGGCCUGCCUACCUCAGGCUUCCAGUGUGUGCCCAGUCCUGGAGACAGAGAAAGGGCUUCAUUAAGCAUGGAGCACUCUACAGAGUUGUGGAAAAUUUUUCCCAAUUGUUGGCAGUUCCAAAAGAUUUCAGAAGAUUACUGGUUAAACUAACAUGAUUUCUAUACCUCAGGGUAAAUUUGCAAGGCUGCACUGGAACCAUGUGAAGAUCUCCCUCCCUUGGUGGAAGUGAGCUCAGGGAAGGGCCAUGCUGUCCCCCCUCUGUACUAUAGAAAUCCUCUUCAGGUUCAGCUCUGUUGGGACCAUGAGAUCAUGGACACCAGAGGUUUCCAAGGGGACAGGUUCCUUUCCUGGGAGCCUUUGGUGACUUCAGAGCUCCCUGAGAGCAGGACCUGGCCAGGAUUUUACCUACCAAAGGCCUCAUGCCUAUCUCAGCCCAUAUAUAGGAGGACUUUUAGUGGGUUAUAAGUGGGUGUUCGCUAUCACCUAACUUAGAUGGGAAGCCACUGGGCACUAUUUGGGCUGAUGGCCUUUCUGACAUAUGGGUGGCUCCCAGUGUGAUAGUAAAAGUCACUAAAAGUAAUGGGCUGAUCCAUAUGUGACCUUAACUUCCCCCUUCUCAAAUAGCUCCAGAGCCUGCUUGAUGGCCUGUGCCUGGCCAUGCAGGGACACAGAGCCCAGCCACCAUCUGCCCCAGGCUGGUAAAGCCAGCUGAAUGUUUCCCACUGCUGCCUGCCUUUCAGGAUCCAGGAGGCUUCUGGGCCCUAGAGCCUGCUCUCUGGGAGCUGCUGGUAGAGAUUUCUCUGCCUUUGGGCCCUGCCAUUGCUGAUGUGCAAUGAGGUUUCCUAGGGAAAGCUGGCAGACCUUCCUGGUGAAACUGGGGGUUUCCCCCUUUGGCUGGCAGGUGGGAUCUGCAUAAGUUGCAGGCCUCUGCAGCUGAGAAACAGGUUCCAACUCUUAAUGGUGGCUGUCCCCUCCAGUGUCGCAGCAGACCACAGCCGCUCGCCACUGCCUUCUUCUUUCUGGGUUCUUGACUCCUGAUUCUGAAGAGUGAAAUCCACAGAUGAGGAUGAGGGAAUAUAAGAGUAGGAUUUAUUCAGGUGUGAAUAGAGACAGAACGUCUGCAGGACAAGUGGGGACCCAAGAGAGGUUGCUGCUAAUCUAGGGGUUUAUAGAGCACUUGGUUCAAGGCAAUUGGUCCAAAUUUGUGCUCAUCAGGUUUUGGAAAAGCACUGAUGCUAUUGGCCAAUCCAUGAGUCUGAACUCCAUUAAGAUCUGCCCCGAUUCCAUUUUCUCACCUAUUGCGUAUAAUCUCAACAUCCUAGGGAGUGGAUCGUGGAUGCUCAGGUGGUUCAGAGCUGGCACUGUGUGGAGCGACUGUCCACCCAGUUAGGCAGACCCACUGUGAGAUCCACAGGCUGGUGCACCCUGGCUUGCUGCACCUCAGGCCUGAGUUGGAAGAAGGGCUCUGGGCAACUCUGGCCAGUGCUCGCAGCCCACGCCCCUGCCCCACAGGCCAGAGCUCGGCAGCUCCACUGCUGCUCUCUGUGGGGAUUAGUGGGCUUGCUGUGUGGCUCAGCAGCCAGGGAGCCACAUCACUGAGGCAGACAGCCCACAUUCAGCCCACUUCUAGGUGAAGGCAGAUCCGAUCACAUCAUUGAGGGUCCCCCCCCCCCCAACCCCUUGGUGGCUUAUUGUGGCCUUUGAGAACCCAGGGGCCUGUCGUCAUGGGCCCAGCUUGUUGUACUCCUUGCCCUUUGUGUCCUGGUUGCCUAGGAUGGUGGAUCUCAGCUCUCCUUCUUUGGGGUCUGCUCACGUGCCACUCACUGCCUUGGACAUGCGUGUUCUCUCUCUCUCUCUCUCUCUCUCUCCACACACACACACACACACACACACACACACACACACGAGGUCAGUCAAGUUGAUUCCUACCCAUACAUCUGGUUUCAGUUCAGGCGUUCCUCCUGACCUCCUUCUCCUUUCCUUCUCAAGUGAUAGAACCAUGAACUGGUGCUUCUGCAACUUUUUUUUUUUUUUUUUUCAUCACAUCCCACUGUUGCUCCAAGAGCCUCCAUCAGGGUCAACCCUAGCCUUUCUGGUUGCCACUGUGUCCCUAGUGCCCAUAGAGCACAGCUGGCACAGUUCCUGGGCAGAGCCCUGUACAAUGGGCUUCUAUCUUCUUAGUGAUGUAAUCAAAGCCUUUCCUGGAGCCUCAAACCUUGGGGUGGUGAGGAGACCAGCAGUAGUCCCCAGUUCUAGAAGUGCACCUGUGGUUCUGAGUGGUCAAAGGACACAUGUGGUGGGUCCUCUGUUACUUAUAUUUUCAUCCAAGAAUCCAGCGGUCCAUUCAUCUGUCUGUCUAUAUGUCCAUCUAUCUAUCUAGCUACCCUCAUUCCCUCCCUUUCUCUACUCAUCUCCCCAACCAUAUAUCACCUAAUCUUUAUAUCUCCCCAUUGAUUCAUCUCUCCAUCCAUCUAUCCAUUCAUUUAGCUUCCACCCAUCCAGUCUCCACCCCCAUUCCCUCUUUCCUUCUAAUUAUUUCUCCAUUUAUCUACUCAUUCAUCCAUCCAUCUCUCUUUCUGUCCAUCUUUCCAUCCAUCCAUCCAUCCAUCCAUCCAUCCAUCCAUCCAUCCAUUCAUCCAUCCUGUCAUACAACGAAUGUGUGCUUUCUCAGGGAUAAGUUCUGUGCUGGACCCUGGGAAUAUAAGUGAAGCACAAUUACUGACCUGGGAAACUGUUCUCUCCAGAGGGGUUUCUUCUGGAGUGUCCACUGGAGUUUUAUCUCUCUUACACCAAUUACAUAGAGGGAAGGGUCCAAUUGAAUAGAAGUAGAGUUUAGAAUUCUAGACGGAGAAGUCAUGAGGCCCCACACCCUCAUUCUUUGCAUCUGGGUUCUCUGCAAAGAGGGCUAGACCACAGAAAUGGACUGGCAUCUGCAGCUGAAUGGUGCUCUGUGAUUCUGGAAUGUUCCCUUUAAAAUGAUGGGGGUGCUGUGAACAUUGUGCUGUUUGCAAUGAAUGGCUAGUGUUUUCUCUUUACGUGAAAAUGUUUGGAUAAAAUUAUCUCAGGGAUUUGAUGAAGUAAUUGUUCAAUAAAAAAAUCAUCUCAGGGAAGAAAACCUGAUGUGUUGAUGACUUCAUAUAAAGACAUGUAAAUUGAUCACAGAGUUAAGAAAUUCUGCUCCCCAGGUGGCAGAGUCAAUAUCGGUGCUGAGCCUCAGUGCAAGUCCCUUCUGCUCAGAAUGUCUAUAUGCUUAU
rnacentral:lncRNA from 1 species